GACGAACGCUGGCGGCGUGCUUAACACAUGCAAGUCGAACGGAAAGGCCCUGCUUUUGUGGGGUGCUCGAGUGGCGAACGGGUGAGUAACACGUGAGUAACCUGCCCUUGACUUUGGGAUAACUUCAGGAAACUGGGGCUAAUACCGGAUAGGAGCUCCUGCUGCAUGGUGGGGGUUGGAAAGUUUCGGCGGUUGGGGAUGGACUCGCGGCUUAUCAGCUUGUUGGUGGGGUAGUGGCUUACCAAGGCUUUGACGGGUAGCCGGCCUGAGAGGGUGACCGGCCACAUUGGGACUGAGAUACGGCCCAGACUCCUACGGGAGGCAGCAGUGGGGAAUAUUGCACAAUGGGCGGAAGCCUGAUGCAGCAACGCCGCGUGCGGGAUGACGGCCUUCGGGUUGUAAACCGCUUUCGCCUGUGACGAAGCGUGAGUGACGGUAAUGGGGAAAGAAGCACCGGCGAACUACGU
rnacentral:rRNA from 1 species